rnacentral:rRNA from 1 species
UAGGUAAUCUUCCGCAAUGGGCGAAAGCUUGACGGAGCAACGCCUCGUGAGUGAUGCAGGUCUUCGGCUCGUAAAACUCUGUUAUUAGGGAAGAACAAAUGUGUAAGUAACUAUGCACGUCUUGACGGUACCUAAUCAGAAAGCCACGGCUAACUACGUGCCAGCAGCCGCGGUAAUACGUAGGUGGCAAGCGUUAUCCGGAAUUAUUGGGCGUAAAGCGCGCGUAGGCGGUUUUUUAAGUCUGAUGUGAAAGUCCACGGCUCAACCGUGGAGGGUCAUUGGAAACUGGAAAACUUGAGUGCAGAAGAGGAAAGUGGAAUGCCAUGUGGAGCGGGGAAAUGCGCAAAGAUAUGGAGGAACACCAGUGGCGAAGGCGACUUUCUGGUCUGUAACUGACGCUGAUGUGCGAAAGCGUGGGGAUCAAACAGG